rnacentral:lncRNA from 1 species
GCCGAACCAUACUUGUGCAUGUCGUGAUCACACGUUAGAGUAUGCUAUAUUGAUUUACUCAAUUCCAUAUUAUGUUUUUCUAUGUAUCUAAAUAUAAUUCGUAAAUAUACAGCAAAAAUUAUGUACCAAAAAAGACAGAACGACUUAUAUUUUAAACUGUGGGAGAGUAUUAUAGAAAAUGUUAUGGUAGGAGGUAGGACCAUGCACUCAUGCACAGAGAUCCUUGUUCACAUAUCAGCUCUCCAAUAUGUCGAGUAUAUAUACUGGAAAAGGCAUAAGCUAUAUGUAGAUUGAAUUCAAAUAAGAAGAAUGGACUCUUUAAAUGAAUGAUGUCAAAAUAGGUUUUUGAACAUUUUUUAUCUACUAGUAUCAUAGAUGUUGUCGCCCUACGUCCACUAGUACAGAAAUGGUCUGUACUCACGGUUGGGAAACACCUUUAGUCCCAGUUUCCAACUGGGAGCACCAAUUCGGGACUAAAGGAGGACACCUUUAGUCCCGGCUGGGCGCCCAAGACUAAAGAUCCACCUAUAGUCUCGGUUGUUAAUAACAAGUGGAACUACAAGGGGCCUCCAGGUCUGUCCACAGAGCAGGCUAUUUAGUCCCGGUUGGUAGUAGCAACUGGGAGCAAAGGUUCCUUUUUUUUCUUUUUUCUUCUUUGUUUUUGUUUUGUUUUUUCAAUUGAUUAUGUGUUUUGAUAUUAAAAUAGGAUUCAAACAUGGUCUAUACGCUGCUAAUACUAUAGAUAUGUCGCACCCGUAAGUUUUUGUUCGAACACUGUACAUAGUAAAUAAUAAAUUAUUAUACGUACAUAUGAUCACACGUUAUUUUAUGUAUACACAAUAUGUAUAUAUAUUACAUAGGUUUGGCAUACACACAAAUUCAUGUCCUUGGCAUAACAAUUCACUCCUGACUUGGAUUCCACAUUUUGUUUGGGUCAUUGUAGAACUCGCCAUUUAGGUCGAUGAGUUGGUCAUUUAGAAAUCCAGCUACGGUCUCUUGAAUUGCUUUAAGUUGGUCACGUCGUAUGACUCUUUUCUUCAACCAUUUAGUCUUUAACAAAAGUAAAAGAAAAAUUAUUAAUAUAUAUGUGUUGGUAAUGUGAUUACUUAUGCAGAUGAGAGCAAUAAAAAAUUGUGAAUACACAAUCCAAAUAAUUAAUAUAAUUAGAGAAAAAAGUAUUUAUAUAUACAUACUUUGAGGAACUCUUCUGGAGUUCUAUUUGAGUACACCAUGAUGAACUCACAAAUAUAGUAUCCGCAGUAGUUGUUCCCCUACUCCUGCCUUAGAAACCACUUUUACGAUAAAAGAUCAAUUAGUUAGGUGAAUUGAAAUCAUCAUAUAUUGUAAAUUGAAUAUAAAUAUAGCUAUAGUACUUACAUUGUGUGCGAUUAUAUCCGGUGGCGCUUUGCAAUGUUUUAUUUUUUGUUACUCAAUAAACUUUUUCCAAACCCUGUGCCCAAUAAAAACACAAUUGAUCCUUUAAUAAUUGUUGAGAGAUCGGCACCAUUAUAUAUUGUUUUAUAGAGAAACUAAAUGAAUUACCCUUGAAUAAUAUCUGUCAUGUCUUGAUAGUCCGUUUAUGGUUUUCUCAAUGAGUCUAAGAUUUUCAAUCUACUAUUGGCCAUAUCGAUGACCAUCAAUAUCCAAUAAUUGCUGCAUAUAUAUAUAGGACAUAACUUAUUAACUACCUAUAAGGAAAUAAUUAAUUAAAGAAAUGUCCCAUGUGAUCGAUAUUUUAAUUACUAAAUACUUACUUGAAGUUGUGAGGGAAGAGUAUGUCAUUCUUAUUGCGUUGGUUCACAAAGAACACCAUGAAAUUAUUGUCUUGUUUAGGCUUAUAAUCACACGAGGGGUUAGGGUGUUUGUAUAUGACAUAUGGAUCAACGAAACCAACAUUAUUAUCAUUUCUCUUUCUUAGUUCUGCCAUCUGAUAUCUGCAUAUUGUUGACAUUCAUUAGUGCAUAAAGAAGUAUAAAAGAUUCUAGGUAUCAUUAUAUAUAUUUUACUAUAGGGAGUAUAGGGUUAAGAAUCUGAUAAUUCACUAUCAUACAUCUACUAACUCAGAGUAUCAACUAAACCAAAGCAAGGGUAAAUGAUAUACUAUAAGAUAAAUCAAUUAAGUG